rnacentral:rRNA from 1 species
GACGAACGCUGGCGGCGUGCUUAACACAUGCAAGUCGAACGAAGAGCGAUGGAAGCUUGCUUCUAUCAAUCUUAGUGGCGAACGGGUGAGUAACGCGUAAUCAACCUGCCCUUCAGAAGGGGACAACAGUUGGAAACGACUGCUAAUACCGCAUACGAUCUAAUCUCGGCAUCGAGGAUAGAUGAAAGGUGGCCUCUACAUGUAAGCUAUCACUGAAGGAGGGGAUUGCGUCUGAUUAGGUAGUUGGAGGGGUAACGGCCCACCAAGGCGAUGAUCAGUAGCCGGUCUGAGAGGAUGAACGGCCACAUUGGGACUGAGACACGGCCCAGACUCCUACGGGAGGCAGCAGUGGGGAAUCUUCCGCAAUGGACGAAAGUCUGACGGAGCAACGCCGCGUGAGUGAUGACGGCCUUCGGGUUGUAAAGCUCUGUUAAUCGGGACGAAAGGCCUUCUUGCGAAUAGUGAGAAGGAUUGACGGUACCGGAAUAGAAAGCCACGGCUAACUACGUGCCAGCCGCCGCGGUAA